UGGUUGGGUUCCACGCUGUUGUCUGCAUGGCGCGCGUGGUGAUCACGAAUGCCUCCUUCUCUGCCCUGACGGUCUUGCAGGCACUGACAUUCCUCAUCAACCUUACGUGUAAAGAGCCGGCGCUGGUGUCGUUGGCACGUGAGCAGCACGCGCGCCUUUCUGGUGUCAACUCGUUUCAGCGAACAAAAAGUGCAGAGCUCGUGUGCGCCUCCACACCUCUUCGAUUCUCUCGGCUAUACUCUCCCCCUCCUAUAGAAUCUUUGCCUGCCUGCCCCCUCCCUCUCUCUCCCGCCUGCCGUACUCAGCCCCGAUGUUGCGACAGAGCGUGCGGUGGCUUGCCUUCAUGUCCCCUGGCGACCUGUAUGCGCUCAGCCAGCGCAGCAGCUUCUCCUCCUACACGCAGUACAGCGACGCAUCUGCGUUAGCCCGCUCGUACAAGAGGUGCUCACGGGCUGAGAAGCUGAAGUGUGAGGAGCGUGCCGAGGCAAUCAAUGACGAGGUUGAACGCGCCUACCAAACGGAAGCUCAGCUGCUGAGGCAAGAAGAUAGCGAUUUGCGCUCGAACACAUGUGGUGCAGCAGCUCACAACGAAUGACAAGGGGUUUUGUAUGCGCCAUAUCGGAUGGGAGGAGAGGCGCGCGGGGUGGGGGAGCUCCGUGCGCGGUGUCGCUGCCGCUGUCCGGUCGCGGGUGGCGUUGUGCGUCGCGGCGACCGGCGACAGUGUGAGCACGGUUGUGCCAUUUGUAUGUGGUGUGCAAGGCCACCAUGCGCCUCGAGCGUAUCCCACCCGGCCGCCACACUGCCUACUGCUGGUGUGUGUGUGUGGGGGGGGGCGAGUGGCGCUGGAGCCAUGCCGCGAUAGCAGCUAGACGGACACGAUGCAGCACAAGCGUCUUCGUUGUGCUGUUUGGGUACUCGACGCGUCCGUUUGCAUGCUGUUGCCGUGCAUGAGUACCAGCGGGAGCGAUCUGCGUAUUGACGAGCCUGCUUUUGGCGUGCCUCAACUGUUGCGUGUGUCGGGUGCUCAGCUUAUCUUGUUUGAUCUCUGUUCUGUGACUCGUCGAACAUGUUGCGCACACGGCUCUCCUUGCCAGCACGGAGCUGGGGUGCAAGGUUCCUCGACCCCACCUCAUCACGGAUCUGCGUCCUCGUCACCUUUUCCUUCAUUCCUUCUGACAACAGACGGGGACCGCGGCGGCUAUCGCUCUGUGUAGGAGGCCCAGUGGAAGGCGCGCC
rnacentral:misc_RNA from 1 species